rnacentral:rRNA from 1 species
UACGUAGGGGGCAAGCGUUGUCCGGAAUCAUUGGGCGUAAAGAGCGUGUAGGCGGUCCGGUAAGUCGGCUGUGAAAGUCCAGGGCUCAACCCUGGGAUGCCGGUCGAUACUGCCGGACUAGAGUUCGGAAGAGGCGAGUGGAAUUCCCGGUGUAGCGGUGAAAUGCGCAGAUAUCGGGAGGAACACCUAUGGCGAAGGCAGCUCGCUGGGACGUUACUGACGCUGGAGGAGCGAAAGCUAGGGGAGCGAACAGG